AGCUCCAGGUUGUAACAUCACUGAAUCAGUCACCAAGCACCAAGAGUGGUCCAAGUGACUGAUUCAGUGGUGUUACAACCUGGAGCUCUCAUUAGACUUCUGGUCUCCACAAGGGAAGAGCCUACUCUGACCAAUGAGGAUACCAACACAGAGGAUAUAUACACAAGAAUAUUCACGGCAGCACUGUUCCAUGGCAUCCUGAAAACAGAAACAACUCAAAGGUCCAGAAGGAGUAAAACAGACAAGGAGAAUGAGGACUAUGGCCUUUUGUUAAAUGAAAUCCUCUAAGGACAAGAUUGACAGAGGCUGCAAGCAGAUCACUAAAUGUUCUCUUCUUCUUCCUCCGGGGCCGCCAACCAAAUUCUACUCCCAGUUGUCCCUGCAGGUUGCAGAGACCACGUGAUUUUGUUCUCUCUACUUCCGAACCUGGUCCACAGCAACAUCUCAUAUCAAUCCUCCACAGACUUUCCCCUUUGCCACCAAGAUGUGCACUUGAGGGCAGUCUUGGAGAACACAUACUGUAGAGGGCACAGUCCUCUGCAACAAGGAUGUCUGUGUGGAAGGGCGUUCCCAACUUGAAGACUUCCAACAUGGAACCACCCUAGACCGCUACAUGAAUGGAAAGCCAAUGAAGGCACUGAAAUUCGGGGAUUUGUUUGUCCCAGUAUCUAGUUUUUUGUAGUCUAUGAAUUUUUAGCAACAAAGAGCUUCAUUUCCUUUAGAGAGCUCUUUAACCACAAAUAAGGAUCUAGAUCACAGGACCUAUUGAAUUUAGAUGUGUCCUAUUGUCUGAACUCAUUCAUUAAGUCAAUAGACAUUUAUGGAAUAAUCAUUUCAUUUGCUCUUACAAAGACUUACAAAGUAAGUGAAAAUGUCUCCCACGAAUGUAAUUAAUUACUUAGCUUGGAAGACAACCUAUUUAUAAAUUGCAUCUU